UUGGGACAACAUUGUACAAUCCAAGAGCUUGUGUGUGUGUGUAAGACACAUCGUCCCGAUAUUAUCUUUCUUUUGGAAACUAGGAAAAAUAAAGAGUAUGUUGAGUCUUUGCGUUAUAGGUUAGGUAUGAAUAAUGUGUUUACUGUUUCUGGCCACGGUAAAGGUGGAGGGCUCGCUACGUUUUGGGAUAAAGCAUAUUCUUGUGAGUUGAACAAAUUUGGUGAACACUUUAGUGAUAUGUCAAUCUACAAGGGGGAUGGCACAAAGUGGAGGUGCACUUUUAUUUAUGGUGAACCUAAGGUGAGACAAAGGUACGUCAUGUGGGAUCUCUUGAGAUGGAUAAUACCCCUUGGUUCUGGACCUUGGUUUAUGGUUGGGGAUUUUAAUGAAGCUAUGUGGCAAAAUGAACACUUUUCUCGUCAUAAGCGGUCUUCUAGAAUCAUGGCUAAUUUUCGUGAUGUUCUGUCGGAUUGCAAUUGAUUUGAUUUGGGAUUUGAAGGUGUUCUGUGGACGUAUAAUAAUAAGCAGCAUGGCAACAAGAAUGUCAGGGUACGCCUUGACCGGGCGGUGGCUUGCCCACUUUGGUCCUCUAUUUUCCUGUGGUGCAAGGUCUCCCAUAUUAUGAGUUCCAGGUCUGAUCAUUGCCCCAUUCUUGUUGAUUUAUUG
rnacentral:rRNA from 1 species